CACAAGUUCAGAGCUCCACUUCUCCCCUAUUUAAUUAGGCUGGGGAGAGCCGCGGAGGCGCCUGGUUGAGGUGCAAGCGAGGCGGCCGGGCCGAGCGAAGAGCAACCCUGACCUGGUGAAAAUUAGAAAUACUGCAAUGCAAAGCAUACUGCAGCACCUUUUGAAAGGGAAUUGCCAGAAUUUAAUUGCAUCCUCCUCUUCUUAAACAAGUUUGAAAUAGGCUUUCAUACCUAGAGGCGAUUUUUUGGUUACUGAAAUGUCAGUGUGCAAGAUGGAAACUCAAGCCCACUGGGACAGUAAAUAUUUUGGAUCUGUGUUUUUUGCAAGAUGGAAGAAAACAAAGCAGCUGCCAACAAGGUUUCAUCCUGCUCUGAGUCCCAUGGCAACACCACCAGCGAAGAGGGAAGAUGAGUUCGGCCCAUUGCUUGGCAGUACCUUGCAAAGUAUACAUGGAGAAUACCUGAACUGACUGAAUUCCUCUCAAGACCACACCAAGAAGUAGCAGAGUGCUGUCAAUCACCAGUGUCGCGUCUCAACUGGUGCCUCCAACCAUACAUCAGGAUUUGGUCAUGGCACUGAAUGCACUGGGGUUGUGAAGGCAGCAGCCAUGCAGAGGCAACCAGGGGGAGCUCAGGACAUAGCCAUGCACAUGUCACGUGGAUACUUCAGGGCACUGGAGCAGUAGGCAGUCAAGGGAAAGCUUUGAGCUAAACCUAUGACAUGGUCAAGGGCAAUGAGAGAAAUUCAAGGUCAGCCAUACAAGAAACUUGCCUGUAUCCAAAGAAGGACACAGACAACUAUAAAUGCAACAGGAGGUUCCCUGGAGAAGCCAUCAGCCUUUGACUAAGGACAGCUCAGUUCCAUCCGUAAGAGGUUAAUGACCACACCAUAGAUGGAGAAGAGAUGACUAGAGGGAACCUCUUUGAAGAUUUGUUUUCCAAAGAUAGCCAGAAGUUGGCUUCACUUCUAUGUCCCUUGGAGUGAAAGCAAUGUUUGGAGGGUCUUUGUUUCAUGUUUUUUUUCUGAGCAUGCUGCCAAGCACUGGGCAAAAGGCUAACUUUUUGCAACUCCACUCUCUCUCACACACAUAUACAUACCUAUAUAGCUGCCUCAGUCUUGCAUGUCCCAAACAGUCCUGGCCCCGACAUAGGGCCUAAACUUUCCAUGGCCUAAGGACUUUCCCUUUAUGGGCUUGCUCUCACUACGAUUAAGGGCUAUGAAUGACAUGAUAUUGAUUUUGUGAGAGCCAAGGAUUUUACACAGCAAAGCCUAUACAUAAUUACAGAUCUUCCUCUGAACUUCAUCUAAUGCAUCAGGAUUUAUAACAAUCAAACGUGAAUUUGAGAUAAUGAAAGAGAUUCCCAGCACAGCAAGCUUUUCCAGACAAACCUGCCCAGAACUCUUCUCUCAUGGUUUAAUGUACUGCAGGCACAGUAUGCAAUCAUGAAAUAAGGAUAUGCUUGGCAUGAGCCAAGAUGCUCAUUCGUCAGCCUAGAAUAGCAUGGACCCAGGUCACAUCCUCCGGUCUGUGUGACACCUUCAAAUGGUCAGAGUCAUCACCAAAAAGUCAAUCUAAGCCCUUUCUCCUCACUUUCUUGUAUCUUGGAAGCCGGUCUUGAUGCAUUCAUCUUUCACAGAGGCUGUCAAAAAUUCUCUGUUCCCAGGAGUAACAAGAAAAAACUUUCUCCUUCUACCUACACUGGAUCAGGGAUCCUUGGAGCGGCAGGCCCUUUGUAAUUAACAGUCCUUGACUGGAUUACUUCAUGAAUAUACUCUGCUGCUUUUUGACUGAUGUUCAUUUCCACACUAUCAAAAGGAAAACGAGUCUAACUAGUCAUUGUGUGAAACAGAGCUGCUUUUCGAUUUGCUUGGAACAUACCACUUGAUAAUUUUUCCUGUUUGAAGCAUCUUGGCAUCCGCAGACAAAGGCAGACAACUCAAGGACACAGCUGGUCCUACAGGCUCUAGAGAAACCCUGGGAACAAAACCAGGGCUGCAGAGUUGAGAGAAGACUCCACAGAGUGAACGUGCAAAAUCAGACUUGGCAGAGAAAGCCACCAUAAGCAUGGAGCACAGCCAGGCUUCAGUGAGUGCCUCAGUGGAAAAUGUAAGGAUCUUUGUCCAGAACAUAACUAGCAGAGGUCAGCUAAUGAAUAAUACAGUAACAACACUUUCUCUUCCUCUAAAUCCCAUGUCCAGCCUUUAGAUCCCAUCUCUUGAUGCAGCUGGAAAACCAAUGCAAGCGAAGAAUACUUUGACAACUCAUGUGUCUAUCACCUAUGGCAAGAGAGGGCCAACAGCUCUGCUGGCUUUCACUUCGCAGCCCCAAAUGUUUGGUAGUGAAGCAGAGAAGGCUAUGCAAUCACCAGCUUCCAGGUGGCCAUGGCAGUGGUUUUGUUCCCUCUGCAAGGGAGUUCUUAAGCUGUGAAUGUGGUUCUUCUCAUCCUACAGCACUUGCAUUGCUGCUAAGUCCUCACUGCUGCUGUUGGACCCCCUGCCUCUCCCCUUCCUGCAGGACAGACACUGGAGUGCUCUGUAAUUCCAGAUCCUCCUGCAGUCUGGCUCUCCCAGUGCAGGGUCUAGAUGGCACAGGAGAUGGUACUCAUGGCUGGAGACUCCACACACAGCUCUGAUCCCCUUUAUAGGGUCUUUGUUGUCUCCCAGCACAUGCUCCUGUAUUGUGCAAACUGCUGAAAAUCAAACAGCAUCCCGGAAAUGGCAGUUUCUGUGGUAGAUUAUCUGAUGUGGUGGCCAGUGACCCACACUGCAGGGGGUGGGACAGCCAAAUGCAACGGGGCAGGGGAUGCUGUGCACCAGACCUAUAUCCAACACUGGCAAAAACCUGUCCCAUGUGCCCUGCCCUGCCCUGCUCAGUGGAGGUACCUGAUCUGGGGCUGCAUCAGACUCAGCAGUGCAUCAGAUCAUGCAGCACCAGCCUGGGACUUACUGGUUUGGGAAGGAGCAGACUACCAGAGUGGUGAGACUUGACACGUGGCUUGCAAAUGGAAAGGAACUAAACCUCUGUUAUCUGCUUCUACUUGAUUCACUGCAAAUUCCUUUCUGAGGAAGUUAAAAAAAAAAAAGUCUUCUUCUAGACUUAAGAUCUGGGUUUGGAGCUCAUUAAAUACUUCAGUCCUUAUAAGGACUUAAAGUCUAAACAAAACCAAAAGCUCUGGAGAAAUUAGUAUUCUAUGUCUGCACACCCACCUUGGGAUCCCAUUUUUUUAUAUACCCAAAUAUUAGGUGAAAUCACAAUUUGUGGCUCUUCUUCUACCUUCACUCAGCCACUUGCUACUGCAUACCUUGGUUCAAAUUCAAGUAUCUGUCCUGAAAACAGGAUCCACAAUUUCUAAAACCCAGGCAAGUCAAAGCACUGUAAGGAUUUACUGCUCAUGUUAAAUUACCAGAUGCACUAACGUCUUAAGAAGGGAGCAAGGCCAGCCAAAAUUACAUAGGUUGAAGGAGCUAAGUAAUCCAUCCCAACUGAGCAGACCUAGAAGGAACUGCUGUCAACCAUACAUGUAAGAGAAAACACUUGUUGUAAAACGCACCCUGAACACAGUUGUAAACAGAAUUAACAUGAAAAUGUGGAUGUUUGGAUGAACGAAUUAAAAGCAACAGCAAUUUUGAUUGGUUCAUAAAAUAUGCAGUUAAUUUUUUUCUGCAGAUAAAUCAAACACACCACUUGUAAAGGAUAACCCAAUUCACCCUGUAUGCUUUAGGUCUGAUAUAUUUAGCAAAAGCCAAAUUUAAGAGAUUUAAAUGAACCUUUGCACAAGUGUCGGAGAAGAACCCAGCCCCCUUGACUCCAGACCAUGCAGGGGCUAAUACUGUCCUCUGUCUGGCACCAGACUCCCGCUCUUCCCACCAAAAUAACAUUUUCUUACUAAUGUCUCUUUCUCCGAAAGGUGUAAAUGGGCCCUUGUUUGACCUCAUCACAGAUUCAGCUAUAUUCUUUUAUCUCCAGUAAUCUGGAGAUUUUUUUUCCCUGCAGAUAGUUUCUGUGUUCCACUCACUGCUAUUUGCUAGAGAAAGACUCUUGGGCUUUUUGCCCUUUGUAUUUCCUCUCUUCUUUCAUGUGGAGAAGACUGCCAACGUGGGAUUUGCAAACUGCUGCCAAUAUGGGAUUUGUGCUGCUGCGGCUGCCAAUCUUUAAUUUAGCAUAUGUAUAAAGCUAAUUUUUGGACACGACGCUAGUGCUUGGCAUCUCUGCAGGAGUCAGCCAGGUUGUAAUGUUUGUAUUGUACUGCACUAUAAAAAACAAUAAAAAGAAAAUAUAAA